rnacentral:rRNA from 1 species
GAUGAACGCUGGCGGCGUGCCUAAUACAUGCAAGUCGAGCGAACGGACGAGAAGCUUGCUUCUCUGAUGUUAGCGGCGGACGGGUGAGUAACACGUGGAUAACCUACCUAUAAGACUGGGAUAACUUCGGGAAACCGGAGCUAAUACCGGAUGAUAUUUUGAACCGCAUGGUUCAAAAGUGAAAGACGGUCUUGCUGUCACUUAUAUAUGGAUCCGCGCUGCAUUAGCUAGUUGGUAAGGUAACGGCUUACCAAGGCAACGAUGCAUAGCCGACCUGAGAUGGUGAUCGGCCACACUGGAACUGAGACACGGUCCAGACUCCUACGGGAGGCAGCAGUAGGGAAUCUUCCGCAAAGGGCGAAAGCCUGACGGAGCAACGCCGCGUGAGUGAUGAAGGUCUUCGGAUCGUAAAACUCUGUUAUUAGGGAAGAACAUAUGUGUAAGUAACUGUGCACAUCUUGACGGUACCUAAUCAGAAAGCCACGGCUAACUACGUG